rnacentral:misc_RNA from 1 species
AAAAACUGAAGAUAUCGAUUUUAUAAUUUGUUUGAUUAGUCACGGUACCAACACUUUCCAAAUAAACAUGGUCAGUUUGAUUUUAGUAAAUACAUUGAACUCGACCUAUGUAUACCCUUAACUCAAAUGUUUACAUAAAAUUUGUUAUUUCCUAAGUUCCUCUUCACCUCUUUUAUAAAGAAGAUUACAAACAUCAAGGUUUCAAACCUAAAACCAACAAAUCGAAUAAUAAAUGACAGGAAAUAUAAAGAAUAGCAAUUCUAGUGACCCUAACUACAAAAAGAGAAGGUUCGAGAGGAGCAAAAUUGCUAUCAGAAGCUAAGCUGAUAUUAGACCGACAUACCCAGCAACUAAUGCCAACAGGCAUGACACAACAUACGCACCAGCAACAAUAGUCGGUUCUUCGAAUCCACAUAAUUCAAGGUGAUGAUGAAAAGGUGCCAUCCGAAACAGGUGGUGCCCAGCUCCACUCAACCACCUAGUUGCCUUGAAGUAUGCUGCCUGCAUAAUAACUGAUGAUGUUUCCAAAAAAAAGAAUCCAGAUGAAAUAAAUAAUGGAAAGAACAUUCCAGUGCAAGCAGCCAUUGCAGCUAAUCCUCCACCUAAUGCCAAGGAUCCUAUAUCUCCCAUAAAUAUAGAUGCCCUGUAUCGGUUGUGCAACAGAAAACCAACACAGGCUCCUGCCAUUGAUGCUCCAAAAAUAGCAAGUUCUGAACAUAUUGGUAGUACUGCAAUCGACAUUGCUACAAAAGCCAGUGCAGCAGUCCCACCAGCUAGCCCAUCAAGCCCAUCUGUUAAGUCAACUCCACUUCCCAUGGAAACAAAACAAAAUGAAGUCAACAAUAAGUAACAUUUUCCAAGGCACACAAGGCCCAAUGGUGCAGGUAGAGGAAUCAACAUUUUCCAUCAGAUAAAUGUUGAUCAUAUUAGUUACAAGAAUGUAUACAUGCUGUAGGGUGAUGAUAUACUUGUAGUGUCCAACCAAAAGGCAAACAAGGUCCCAGCAGCCAUCUCCAAGAACAAUUUUAUCUGUGAAGAUAGACCAUUGUUAUGAUUCUUAAUGAGGCUUAAGAUGUCAUCUAGUAGACCAAUUGAAGCAAAUGCUAGUGUUGCUACUGCUGCUCCAGAAACUUCAACAGAAGAAAAACCAGCUAUGAGUUUUGCAACACCGAUGCCAAUUGGAAUAAAAAAUAAACCACCCAUUGUGGGGGUUCCCCUUUUCUUGUGGUGCCUAACCGGUGCUUCGUUCCUUACAUUUUGAUGAACCUUCAAAGCAUUGAGAAACGGAACAAAAAGAUAACCCACAGUAGAAACUAAAGCUGUUGAUAUAAAAAAGGGUCGGGACAAAUAAAAUGGAGCAAGGGGUUGUCUGACAAUUUUCCAUGCACACCAAUCCACAAAUAAAAGCAGCGCCAAAAGGAAGACAAUCAAUCCCAAAUUAUUUAGAAUCCCAAGUCUGAUCCUGCAUUACAAAAUGAAAAAAUAACAUCAAACCAUUUCUAAAGCAUUAGAGGUGAAUUAAACACAUCCUCACCCCUGCUAAUAUUAGCGGACUAGAGAUACUCAAUCAGGUUUGCGAUGGGGUGAAAUUGCCAUUUCCACACUUGUAGUCUUGUUAGUCACAAUGUGUCAUCAAAUGUCUAAAGCAUUAAGUAAGCAUUGACCAUCCAAUGCAAUGAAAACAGAAUCGUAAAAAAUCACUAUAGUGCACUUGCCUAUGUUUUCUGCGCCCCUUUGCAAUCAUUGCGAAUCUGGUAGCCGUAACUGUGAGAGCAUCAUUUGUUGAUACAUUACCAGAAGGCAAAUCAAUAUCAGAGACUGGAUUUAAGAUAAAGUCGCCAUCACUAUCUUCCCCAUCGCUGGAUGAUAUCAGGGUCCCAGCGGUGCCCUCAUCGAUACCCCAAUCAUCAAGUAGCGAUAUGUUAAAUGUAUCCUACAAAACCCAAAACAAGAUACUAAGAAUUGCAGUUUAAAGUGCAUGAGCAAAACUGAUUCUAUAGUUAUGCAUAUGUAAUUUAAUACUUCCCUCCGCAAAUGGAUCUCAGAAUUGAAAUGCAGCUCUUCAAUGUCUCAUCAAGGGCCCUAACUUGAAAAAUCCUAUUUCGCAAUCGAUAACCACGCCGCUUUCUAACGUUUGAUAUAUUUAACUUGAAACCGUGAAAUAGAUUAGCGGUAAAAGGAGAAAAGGGCUUCCGAUAUCGAAAAAGGCCAGAAAAAGGGAGAUGUUGAUGGUGAUACAGAGACCACAUGACGGCUAUAGAAGAAAGAAAAGAGAGGAGCAGAUUUGGAAACAGAGGUUGGUGCGAGGAGAGGGGCCAUUAACAAUAAAGAGACUAAGGGAGGAGGGUAUAUUCCAAUACAGAAGCAUAAUUUAUUUACUUUCCAAAAAUAGCCUAUGUUGCGUACAGUUACAAUGGGCGGAGGAAGACAAAAG